rnacentral:rRNA from 1 species
AUUGAACGCUGGCGGCAUGCCUUACACAUGCAAGUCGAACGGUAACGGGCCUUCGGGUGCCGACGAGUGGCGAACGGGUGAGUAAUACAUCGGAACGUGCACGAUCGUGGGGAUAACGAGGCGAAAGCUUUGCUAAUACCGCAUACGAUCUACGGAUGAAAGCAGGGGACCGCAAGGCCUUGCGCGGACGGAGCGGCCGAUGGCAGAUUAGGUAGUUGGUGGGAUAAAAGCUUACCAAGCCGACGAUCUGUAGCUGGUCUGAGAGGAUGAUCAGCCACACUGGGACUGAGACACGGCCCAGACUCCUACGGGAGGCAGCAGUGGGGAAUUUUGGACAAUGGGCGCAAGCCUGAUCCAGCCAUGCCGCGUGCAGGAUGAAGGCCUUCGGGUUGUAAACUGCUUUUGUACGGGACGAAAAGCCUUCUUUUAAUACAGGAGGGUCAUGACGGUACCGUAAGAAUAAGCACCGGCUAACUACGUG